UCCGAUAGGGCAGUUGAUUUGAACUCACACUAUGACACACUUCUCAUUCAUAAGGUUUGCCUUGAAGCCCAGCACAGCGAACACCACCAGAGUAGCCAGGAUGGAGGUGACAAAGUUUAUAAAGGAGACGAGCAUGGCGUCAAAGUGUCAGUUGUUGUCUAUCUUGUUGUAGCUGGAGAAGGAGAUGACUCCACCGAAGCAGGCCAAGGGCAGAAAACACCUGUGUGGCUGCCUCUCUCCACACCUGGGGCUUCCAGCAUCUUCUCCAGCUUGAACACACUAUAACACACCGAUGGACUGGUUGGGGCCUGAUUAUUUUCCUGCUGUAGCAAACUGCUCAAAUGAAGACCCUACAUCUGUAGAAACAUACGUGUUUCACUGCACCUGUGAAAACAUCUACUGGACACCCCUAUCCCGCCCAGGCGGGGGCACACAUAGUUCCACACCUCAAUGCUCCCACGUCGGAUCUUCUGGCCCACAGCCAGCUCCAGGAAGAAGAGCGAGAUGCCGAUGAGGAUGAGGAGGAUGAAGUAUGGGACGAGGUAGGCACCUGAAAGUGGUCAAAGUGUUCCUGCUAUAUUCCUUAUAAUCGACUAUUAGGUACAUGAGUAGUAUUACAGUAAUAAGAAUUGUGGAAAAUGUGGAAAACCUUCCCUUUGAACCUCCCCUGUUGAAUCAAUGAGAGACUUAAUAUUUACUGUUCUCUGAGCUGUUUCUAGAACACUAAUUGCACUUAAUUGUGUCUCAUUACAAAGGCUGUGGGGAAGGGGAGAGGUAGACAGACUGGGUGACAGACAGACAAACCCUAUAGUUGGUGGUCAUGAAAUAUCAGGCCCACUCAGUGGGAGAGGCCAGAGUUCUGUGCCUCAGGAAACGAUGGUGUCUGUCUGUUUGUACUUGACAGUUCUGCAUCACUUCAAUAUGCAAUAGCUUUUUGUUUGCCGACAGCUUCGAAAAUGUUAUAUAUUACUCUCUCACCCCGGGGGGGGGGGGUCGUCUAAAUUUGGUUCUUCCCAGCUUAAUCCAGGAGAGGCUUAAUCAGGAUGCUACUGUGUUUGAUGUGCAGUGGGUGAGUCAUCAACAGUAAGAUGCAAAGGCUUACGCUGGAGCACUAUCACUAAUACUCAUCCUUCAGGAAUGCCAGUUACAUAGCCCAGAUCUCAUAAUGGAUUGAAUAUUACAGCACACAAAAAACAAGGUCCUAGAAUGAAGGAAGACAGAAAGAAGUACAAUCAAUCAUGUACAUAGAAUGUAGUUCAGGAAAGGAAAUGUAAAUCCUGCAUGCUGCUCUUGGCCCCGAGCCAAAGUGUCCUCAGAUCAGUUGACACACACUGUCCUCAUUUAGCCAGAUCCAAUCAAUCACAGGCUAUCUGAACUUGGGUCAACUCACAGCCCUGAUAUACUGUAUAGCAUGCUCACUGAGGUAAAGAUGUGUGCAAUCCGAGAGAGAGGUAAAUAAGGAGAGAGAGGAAAAGGGCAGGAGGCCCAGGCGUUAACCACUCAACACCAUUUAAUGUGGCUGUAAAUGGCUGUCAGGAGGCAAAUUAGGGGUUGAAAGAUGGCUGUCCUUCUGGGCACACGACCAGGCUGCUUGGUUAUAGGAGUCUUUAAAUCCUGCCUAUUAGCAAUAUAUCGGAAGAGAGGGCAUGUGAAAGACAACCCAGUGAGCACUAUCCAUGCCCAUGUCCAUGGAUGUUUCUUUUGGACCAGACUAGAUUUAGCCCAGACAUAGACGUCUAUGAUGGUUCAGAUUUGGUCCGGACCGGAAGUGAUUUGGCUGAAAUAUUAUUGGGCACAGACAACAGCACAAAGCUCAAAGAAGGUAGAAACAACAAUACAUCACACAUUAGCAGCCACAACUGUCAGUAAAAGUGUCCAUGAUUGAGUCUUUGAAUUAAGAAAUUGAGUUAAAACUGUCCAGUUUGAGUGUUUGUUGCAGCUCGUUCCAGUCGGUAACUGCAACAAACUGAAAAGAGGAGCGACCCAGGGAUGUGCGUGCUUUGGGGACCUUUAACAGAAUGUGACUGGCAGAACGGGUGUAGUAUGUGGAGGAUGAGGGCUGCAGUUGAUAUCUCAGAUAGGGCGGAGUGAGGCCUAAGAGGGUUUUAUAAAUAAGCAUCAACCAGUGGGUCUUGCGACGGGUAUACAGAGAUGACCAGUUUACAGAAGAAUAUAGAGUGCAGUGAUGUGUCUUAUAAGGAGAAACUUUGUGACGGGGCAGGGGAAACGACUCACGGCUGGGAUGGUGUUCUUCGGCUUGCAAGCCUCCCCUUUUUUUCUACAAACACAACGAUGGUCAUUAUGGUCAAACAGUUCUAUUUUUGUUUCCUCAGACCAGAGGACAUUGCUCCAAAAAGUACAAUCUUUGUCCCCAUGUGCAGUUGCAAACCGUAGUAUGGCUUUUUUAUGGCGGUUUUGGAGCAGUGACUUCUUCCUUGCUGUGCGGCCUUUCAGGUUAUGUCGAUAUAGGACUCGUUUUACUAUGGCUAUAGAUACUUUUGUACUUGUUUCCUCCAGCAUCUUCAUAAGGUCAUUUGCUGUUGUUCUGGGAUUGAUUUGCACUUUUCACACCAAAGUACAUUCAUCUCCAGGAGAUGUUUGUACAGAUGAACAUAGUUCCUUCAGACGUUUGGAAAUUGCUCCCAAGGAUGAACCAGACUUGUGGAGGUCUACCAUUUUUCCUGAGGUCUUGGCUGAUUUAUUUUGAUUUUCCCAUGAUGUCAAGCAAAGAGGCACUGAGUUUGAAGGUAGGCCUUGAAAUACACCCACAGGUACAUCUCCAAUUGACUCAAAUUAUGUCAAUUAGCCUAUCAGAAGCUUCUAAAUCCAUGACAUCAUUAUCUGGAAUUUUCCAAGCAGUUUUAAAGGCACAGACAACUAAGUGUAUGUAAACUUCUGACCCACUCGAAUUGUGAUUCAGUGAAAUAAUAAGUGAAAUAAUCUGUUUGUAAACAAUUGUUAGAAAAAUUACCUUUGUCAUGCACACAGUAGAAGUCCUAACCGACUUGUCAAAACUGUAGUUCAUUAACAAGAAAUUUGUGGACCAGUUGCAAAACGAGUUUUAAUGACUCCAACCUAAGUGUCUGAAUAUUUAUGAAAAUGUGAUAUUUCAGUUUUUUUUAUUUUAAAAACCCGCUAUUGCUAUUGUGUGUAGAUUGAGGAGAAAAAAACAUAAUUGAAUCCAUUUUAGAAUAAGGCUGUAACGUAACAAAAUGUGUAAAAAGUCAAGGGGUCUGAAUACUUUCCGAAUGCACUGUAUAUUUAGAGUGGUGUUUGUGGAGCUGUGCUCCCCUCUUGGCAGCCCAGUCUGACUGUGAUGGCUGGCCAGUGUAGCUGUCAUGUUGUUCUUUCAGUCUGGGUCACUGAGUAGCCAGGUGAGUAAACACUGAGCACAGGUAAAAUCCUAGAGGAAAACUUGGCUCAGUCUGCUUUCCACCAGACACUGAGAGAUGAUUUCACCUUUCAGCAGGCCAAUAACCGAAAAUAUGAUUUAUAUUUGUUCUUCUACAGUUCUACUUAGAAACACUUCAUGUACUUCUUUUAAAAAAUGUCAGCGUAGAGCCCUGAACUAUAAUAACAAGUAAGCCAUAUCACUCAGCAUUUUGUGGCAGGGCACGCACUUUGUUGAUUCUUGAUGUUCAGUUGUAGAACUGUUCAUCUGUUUUUACUAUUGGAUAUACAUAGUUUUGUCAUGACUUUGCCCUGUUGGGUGAAGUUCAUUAAAAAAAACUUUCCCUCUUUCCCCCCACAGGUUUAUGAUGCCCCCACCCCCCAUAAAUACCUUUCCCCCUUCUCUCUCCACUCUACAAAAAUUGACUUAUGAAAAUCUAUUGUUACCAGAGAGAGACUUUGCAAUACAGUAACAUCAAAAGUUUGGGUAUGGAACAAUAUUUCUGUAAUCCAACCAGUUGAAAGUAUCCGUUGGUACUUAAAACAUUAAUAUUAAAGAAUAUUUGUCACGUUCUGACCUUUAUUUCCUUUGUUUUGUCUUUAUUUAGUAUGGUCAGGGCGUGAGUUGGGGUGGGCACUCUAUGUUCGUGUUUAUAUGUUUUUUCUAUUUCUGUGUUUGGCCUGAUACGGUUCUCAAUCAGAGGCAGCUGUUUAUCGUUGUCCCUGAUUGAGAACCAUAUUUAGGUAGCCUGGGUUUCACUGUUGGUUUGUGGGUGUUUGUUUCCUGUGUCAGUGCCACACUGGACUGUUUCGGUUUGGUUUAGUUCAUGUGAUCGUUUAUUGUUUUGUAUUUCAUAGUGUUCAGGCUUUUCUUAUUAAAAUCGUCAUGGACACUUACCACGCUGCGUAUUGGUCCGAUCCUUGCUACACCUCUUCAGGCAAGGAGGAGGAAAUCUGCCGUUACAAUAUUAACUAAGACAAAAUCAUUUAUAACUGAAUUUUCCCAGUAUAAUAUAGGUUCAGCAAAUCCCCUUCAUGUUUGGGAUACCUUUAAAUGUACCUUCAGGGGUCAUUCAAUUCAAUAUUCAUAAAUCAUUUUAAAAAAGCAGUUUCUGCCUAAAGAAACAAGGGAAAUCCAUGAACUAAAAGUACAGGUAGCUAGCAAUAAAAACGAUACUACAAAAUAAGUUAGAGGAAAAACAACAAACUUGAGGAACUUAUUCAAGAACGAUCUAAUGUAAUCUACUACAAAAACCAAGCAAAAUGGAUGGAAUAUGGAGAAAAAUGCACAAAAUUCUUCCUGAAUCGUCAAUACAAGAACACUAACAAAAAUAAUUUGCAGAAACUUGUUACUGAAGACAGAGUCAUCUAUGAUUCUCUGAAUGAUAUUUUAAAAGAGGAAGCUAAUUAUUUUAGGCAGAUGUUCUCUUUUCCGUCUCAUCUCCCACUGAAUGAAGAUUACGGUAAGGAAUUCUUUCCAAAUAAUAUACAAAAUUUAAAAUUAACAAAUAUACAGAAAGAUCAGUACGAAGGCCAAAUUAGAGGGAGAACUUUUUGAGGCUAUUAAAUCCUUUCAGUCUGGAAAAACCCCAGGGCUUGAUGGCAUACCGGUAGAGGUAUAUUAAGUAUGUUUUUAUAUACUAAAAGCUCCAUUGUUAGAUUGUUUUAACUACUCCUAUAGAAAUGGUAGUCUGUCAGGUACUCAGCAGGAAGAUCUGAUUUCUCUAUUAUUAAAACAAGACCCAGAUGGCAAAUAUAAAGACCCGGUCGAUCUAAAAAACUGGAGGCCCCUUACACAUCAAUGUUGUGAUGCAAAAAUACUAGCGAAAUGCAUAGCACUCAGAAUUAAAAGGGUUUCACCAGGUAUUGUUCAUCCUAAUCAGACAGGUUUUUUAUAUGGAUGAUACAUUGGAGAUAAAAUAUAAAACAUCAAGACACAUAUAAAAAGCCAGGAACGGUAUUUAUAGCGGAUUUUGAAAAGGCAUUUGAUAAAGUAAUACAUGUAAUAGUGCCAGACAUAGUGCACACAAACAUAAAGUAGGCAUUGCUGUUAUGAUUUCAGUUGUUCUUCAUGUCCUUUGUUUUAAAUGUAUUAUUUUGUAGUAUAUAUUUUUUUCAUUGUUGUUUGCUGUUUUCUUCUGUCUUUUCCUUUUUUCUCUGUAGUUCAUUCUCUUGUUAU